rnacentral:sRNA from 1 species
AAAAUACAGCCAUUUUAGCCAUAGGGUCCACAUGAACUUUAAGGUUCAUCUUAAGGUUCAUGUGGACCCUAUGGCUAAAAUGGCUGUAUUUUUCAUCUUAAGGU